GUACAUAGGGACUUUCUUCUCUAGAAAUCCAGUUGUUAAUCAUUUACCAGCACAUCCCUGGAUAAACAGGAGUCAGCUAAGUGGAAGGGGAGAAGGAGGACAAGAAAAGAGAAGUCCGGCAGUGUGGACAGCAUGUGUGAAGGCCCAGAGGACCACCUGCCAGGCACAGAUCCAGAAAGAAACCAGGACCAGCCCUGUCCACAAGGAGCUGUCUGCAGAGGAGACAGGAUGCCUGUAUAGAAAAUAGGGCUGCAGCAUCAGACGGCUGCUCCCCACCCAGGAUGGAAGGACAAACAGAGAGGAUGCAUCAGGGAAGGGAGAGGCAGAGAAAGCUGACCAGGGUAGGUAGAGAAGGCUUCCCAGGAAAGCGGCAUUCCCAGCAAGGGAUGUUGAUCAGACCUGGGCACUCUGCAGUGAUGAUCAGCAGCUCAAGAGCAAGGGUGGCUCCUGACCGUGAGGGGUCAGCACCAGGCCCACAAGCCUGUCUGUUGCACCAGUGCCCAGGAGGGGCUGUGGACUGCGGACCUGUUUUCUCUGGCUCGACCUCACCCAGAACCAGCGGCAGAAAGGCCAGUUAUGCAACCAUCCUCACCACAGCCUGCCAGCCUCAGAGGCU
rnacentral:lncRNA from 1 species